rnacentral:rRNA from 1 species
GACGAACGCUGGCGGCGUGCCUAAUACAUGCAAGUUGAGCGCUGAAGGUUGGUACUUGUACCAACUGGAUGAGCAGCGAACGGGUGAGUAACGCGUGGGGAAUCUGCCUUUGAGCGGGGGACAACAUUUGGAAACGAAUGCUAAUACCGCAUAAAAACUUUAAACACAAGAUUUAAGUUUGAAAGAUGCAAUUGCAUCACUCAAAGAUGAUCCCGCGUUGGAUUAGCUAGUUGGUGAGGUAAAGGCUCACCAAGGCGAUGAUACAUAGCCGACCUGAGAGGGUGAUCGGCCACAUUGGGACUGAGACACGGCCCAAACUCCUACGGGAGGCAGCAGUAGGGAAUCUUCGGCCAUGGACGAAAGUCUGACCGAGCAACGCCGCGUGAGUGAAGAAGGUUUUCGGAUCGGAAAACUCGGUUGGUAGAGAAGAACGUUGGUGAGAGUGGAAAGCUCAUCAAGUGACGGUAACUACACAGAAAGGGACGGCUAACUACGUG